rnacentral:tRNA from 1 species
GCCAGUGUGAUGUAGUGGUUUGAGCACUAGACUAGGACUAUGGAGACCAGGGUUCAAAUCCUAGCUUGGCCA